rnacentral:rRNA from 1 species
GUGGGGAAUUUUGGGCAAUGGGCGCAAGCCUGACCCAGCGACGCCGCGUGGAGGAUGAAGGCCUUCGGGUUGUAAACUCCUGUCAGGUGGGAAGAAAUCUCCGCCGGUGAAUAUCCGGCGGCGUUGACGGUACCACCAAAGGAAGCCCCGGCUAACUCCGUGCCAGCAGCCGCGGUAAUACGGAGGGGGCAAGCGUUAUUCGGAUUUACUGGGCGUAAAGCGCACGUAGGCGGCAUUGCAAGUCGUAGGUGAAAGCCCUCGGCUCAACCGAGGAAUUGCCUUCGAAACUGCGCUGCUUGAGUCCGGGAGGGGGGAGCGGAAUUCCCAGUGUAGCGGUGAAAUGCGUAGAUACUGGGAGGAACACCGGUGGCGAAGGCGGCUCCCUGGACCGGUACUGACGCUGAGGUGCGAAAGCGUGGGUAGCAAACAGGAUUAGAAACCCGUGUAGUCC